AAUGUUGCCUUCUCACUUUUCUCUCUGUUUUCUAUCUUUUGAUCUGUGGUUCCAUGUACAUAGGACCUUUUGCUCUUUCUUCUAAGUCUCUUACUCUCUUAUUUUAUUUUUAAUCUGUUUUUUGUUUGUUUGUUUGUUUGAGACAGGGUCUCACUCUAUAGCCCAGGCUGAAAUGCAGUAGAGUGAUCAUGGCUUGCUGCAGCCUCAACCUCCUGGGCUCAAGUGAUCCUCCCACCUCAGCCUCCUAAGUAGCUGGGACCACAGGCGUGAGCCGCCAUGACCGGUUAAUUUUUGUAUUUUUUGUAGAGAUGGGGUUUCACUAUGUUGCCCAGGCUGGUCUCGAACUCCUGGACUCAAGCGAUUUACCCAUCUUGUCCUCCCAAAGUGAUGGGAUUAUUGAUAUGUACCACUGUGCCCUGCCUUAUUUUUAAUCUUUUUAUCUCUCAAGCUACAUUGUAGCUAAGCUCCUUAGAUCAUUUCCAAUUUAGUUACUCGCUCUUCACCCAUGUUUAGUUUGCUGUUUAAAACUUACCAAGUUUUUAAUUUCAGUGACCAUAUUUUUGGCUUUUAGAAAAACCAUUUCAUU
rnacentral:lncRNA from 1 species